UGGGGAAUAUUGCACAAUGGGCGCAAGCCUGAUGCAGCCAUGCCGCGUGUAUGAAGAAGGCCUUCGGGUUGUAAAGUACUUUCAGCGGGGAGGAAGGGAGUAAAGUUAAUACCUUUGCUCAUUGACGUUACCCGCAGAAGAAGCACCGGCUAACUCCGUGCUAGCAGCCGCGGUAAUACGGAGGGUGCAAGCGUUAAUCGGAAUUACUGGGCGUAAAGCGCACGCAGGCGGUUUGUUAAGUAAGAUGUGAAAUCCCCGGGCUCAACCUGGGAACUGCAUCUGAUACUGGCAAGCUGGAGUCUCGUAGAGGGGGGUAGAAUUCCAGGUGUAGCGGUGAAAUGCGUAGAGAUCUGGAGGAAUACCGGUGGCGAAGGCGGCCCCCUGGACGAAGACUGACGCUCAGGUGCGAAAGCGUGGGGAGCAAACAGG
rnacentral:rRNA from 1 species